AAACCAUAAGCGGUAGAAUGUUGAAUAAUAAUUUUGCAUCUGCUCAAUUUAUUCCUAUUUUCAGUGAUACUUUUCUGAAUCACCAUCAUUUACUAAGGAUAAAUAAAUGCUCAGAUAUAGUUGAUGAUCGAUUUCUUCUUCGAGAAUUUUCGCAUGAACACAAGCCCAUUUACUUGUGUCUUGAUUUUUAGAACUGAAAUAUGUGAAGAAUUAUACAAUUAAUGUUACACUACAAUGCAUUCUUCCCAC